AAAGGCCCCUAUCGAAGCCGUUAAAGCUUAUUGCAGCACCUAGCGGUCAGCACUUACACCGACGGUCGCUGUUCAGUUGCCAAAUAACUGUUAUAGCAACAUUAAGGGAAAGGAUAUUA